UACGGAGGAUGCAAGCGUUAUCCGGAUUUAUUGGGUUUAAAGGGUGCGCAGGCGGGGACGUAAGUCAGUGGUGAAAAGCUGCCGCUUAACGGUAGUCUUGCCAAUGAUACUGCGUUUCUUGAGUAUGGUUAAGGUAGGCGGAAUGUGCAGUGUAGCGGUGAAAUGCAUAGAUAUUGCACAGAAGGCCGAUUGCGGAGGCAGCUUACUAAUCCAUCAUUGACGCUGAGGCACGAAAGCGUGGGGAUCAAACAGGA
rnacentral:rRNA from 1 species